CGACAAAUACCGGGCAGAUGUCGACUUAAGCAAUGGCUUGAGGGCUCUUGAGGCUAUGGCCUUGAAGGUAAGCUCGUCGGUUGUUUUUACAUUAUUUUUGUUAUCUUGACGUCCCGAGGUUAACCAUGCACCAUUUUGCAGACACUGGGAAUAGCUCGGGGCCUUUCCUUGAAGGAAAAGGACGAGUCUUCACGAAUGGCCGACCUCGAGGGGGCCGUUUCUGCUCGGGAUCUAAGGAUUGCCGACCUCGAGGAGGAGCGCGCUCGGCUAUUGAGGGAGCUUGAGCAUAUGCGAAAUGAUCUACGCAGUGCUCAGGGUGAGGCCGGUACUGCGAAGGCUGAGGCUGAGCACUCCAAGCUCGAGCUCGAUCAGCUUAAAAAAGAUUUUGAUGCGAAGCUGGCCAAUGCUCGAGAGGAAGCGAUCGAGGACUUCAAGAAGUCUGACGCCUUCAACGAGUUAAAGGGUGAUUAUGCUAUGGGCUCUUACUUUCAUGCCCUGAAGGAAGCUCGAGCUUUCAUGCGCCUGAGGCCGGAUGCUCGCCCUGAGGAUCUGAAGUCAAUCCCCGAGGUGGCUGAUGACCUUCAUCUUUCAGAGUCUGAAGAAAACGCUGGGGAUGAAGACGUCGAUAUCGAGGGUGAUGAUGCCGAGGAAGGCCAAGGCAGUCAGGACACUGACGCCUAAAUUUACCGAGCUUAUCCUGUAUUGUUAUUUUUUGUAAUUGUAAAAUGCCCGAUCUUAAUGGAGAUUGUUUUUUUCUUUUGACCGAGCUUAUUUUGUAUUAUCGUCGUGUUUCUAUUUUCAUAUGCG
rnacentral:lncRNA from 1 species